rnacentral:rRNA from 1 species
UGAACGCUAGCUACAGGCUUAACACAUGCAAGUCGAGGGGCAGCAUGAACAUAGCUUGCUAUGUUUGAUGGCGACCGGCGCACGGGUGCGUAACACGUGUCCAAUCUGCCCGUCACUCGGGGAUAGCCUUCUGAAAGGAAGAUUAAUACCCGAUGGCAUGUAUUUCCGGCAUCGGAGAUACAUUAAAGAUUUAUCGGUAACGGAUGAGGAUGCGUACGAUUAGCUGGUUGGCGGGGUAACGGCCCACCAAGGCGACGAUCGUUAGGGGUUCUGAGAGGAAGGUCCCCCACACUGGAACUGAGACACGGUCCAGACUCCUACGGGAGGCAGCAGUGAGGAAUAUUGGUCAAUGGUCGAGAGACUGAACCAGCCAAGUAGCGUGAAGGAUGACUGCCCUACGGGUUGUAAACUUCUUUUGUUUGGGAAUAAAUGAUACUACGUGUAGUAUUUUGCAUGUACCUUACGAAUAAGCAUCGGCUAAUUCCGUG